GGAAGGUAGUGGAUGUAAAUUAAUUUAGAAUGCUGGAAACUUUUCGUUUGCUUAAUCAAAAUGAUCCAGUACAUGAAUAUUUUGCAGGCUUCAAAUAAAGCCUAAGCGAACCUAUGUUAGUUCCUUCAACUACAUGCAUGAAUAAAGUGAGAGUAGGAGACUGCAGUGAAGGGAAGUAAUGGCACCUUGUCUAUAUAAGGGAGACAAAGAUGAAUAGAAUGAGGAGAUUUGAAAACAAAAUGUUGGAAGAGAGAAAGACACAUUGGAAAGUUAUUGAAAGAAGAAAGUCAUAUGACAUGGAAGAAAAACGAAGUAUAACACGUGGAGCUGAUUGAUGGAGUGGCAAAAUAGGAAUCAUAGACAAUCUCCUUAAUAUCCAUGCAAUCGUUCAAGAAGUGCACUAUUUCAAGUGUUGUAUAGUACUGCUUGAAGAGAAUCUUUAGAUUCACCGACUGUGUGUGUGGGCUGUAAGCUUCCUGAUAUGGUUGGCGAAUGAGUAUAGUAGUAGCAAAAUCUUAGUAGCCAAUUUUAUGUCAGGUUUGAUACAAUCAAAAA